GACGAACGCUGGCGGCGUGCUUAACACAUGCAAGUCGAGCGGUAAGGCCCUUUCGGGGGUACACGAGCGGCGAACGGGUGAGUAACACGUGGGUGACCUGCCCUUAGCUCUGGGAUAAGCCUGGGAAACUGGGUCUAAUACCGGAUAUGACUCCAUGACGCAUGUUGUGGGGUGGAGAGCCUUGUGCGGCUAGGGAUGGGCCCGCGGCCUAUCAGCUUGUUGGUGGGGUGAUGGCCACCAAGGCGACGACGGGUAGCCGGCCUGAGAGGGCGACCGGCCACACUGGGACUGAGACACGGCCCAGACUCCUACGGGAGGCAGCAGUGGGGAAUCUUGCGCAAUGGGCGAAAGCCUGACGCAGCGACGCCGCGUGAGGGAUGACGGCCUCGGUUGUAACC
rnacentral:rRNA from 1 species